AUGGCUGUCGUCAGCUCGUGUCGUGAGAUGUUGGGUUAAGUCCCGCAACGAGCGCAACCCUCGUCCUAUGUUGCCAGCACGUGAUGGUGGGGACUCAUAGGAGACUGCCGGGGUCAACUCGGAGGAAGGUGGGGAUGACGUCAAAUCAUCAUGCCCCUUAUGUCUUGGGCUUCACGCAUGCUACAAUGGCCGGUACAAAGGGCUGCGAUACCGCAAGGUGGAGCGAAUCCCAAAAAGCCGGUCUCAGUUCGGAUUGGGGUCUGCAACUCGACCCCAUGAAGUCGGAGUCGCUAGUAAUCGCAGAUCAGCAACGCUGCGGUGAAUACGUUCCCGGGCCUUGUACACACCGCCCGUCAAGUCACGAAAGUCGGUAACACCCGAAGCCGGUGGCCCAACCUUAGGGGGGGAGCCGUCGAAGGUGGGACUGGCGAUUGGGACUAAGUCGUAACAAGGUAGCCGUACCGGAAGGUGCGGCUGGAUCACCUCCUUUCUAAGGAGCUCUGGCAGUUCUCGCACGUGGUGCGGGGGUGUCCAGGCCCAUGCCUCGGCCGUUUGUGCUGGGGGUGGUGCUCAAGGGUGGAACAUCAACUAUGGUCGCGCCGGUCGGUGCUGCUGGGAGUACGUCGUGGGUCCUUCGGGGUCGGCGAAGGGAAACUGGUGGUGGUGGUGGGUGUGGUCUGGCACGCUGUUGGGUCCUGAGGGAUCCGGCUUCCCCGUGUGGGGAUGGUGGGUUCGCUCGGGUCGUCUCACGUGGUUCCUGUGGGUGGGGGACGUGGUGGGUGGCUGCGCGGUGUGGGUGGUCCGGAUGAACCGGUUCGUGUCUCUUCGGGGAUGGGGGCAAGGCGCCGGGGAGCCCAUGUUCCGCUCGUAGCUUGAGAACUGCACAGUGGACGCGAGCAUCUUUGUAAGAUCUUUGUGGCAAGUUUUUAAGGGCACAGGGUGAAUGCCUUGGCACUAGGAGCCGAAGAAGGACGUUGUAGCCUGCGAUAAGCCUCGGGGAGUUGGCAAACGAACCGUGAUCCGAGGAUGUCCGAAUGGGGAAACCCGG
rnacentral:sRNA from 1 species